CUGACUGAUGGUGGUUGGUUUCACCAGAGAGCCUUGGAGACACUGAUGAACUUGGCGGGUCUACAGGCACCUUACUGGGACCGUUGGUCAGUCUCUGGGAAGAAGAGCUCAAAUGACAGAGAUGCAGGGACCAGACAACCUGAGGAGGUGCCUCAGCGCCAUGACUUCUCAGCAACCAACCAGCUCAACAGACCAGAGGCCGCAGCAGAUUUGCUAGUCUUUACACCUCCUUGAUGCGCCAUGCGUCCUUGCCUUCUGGAAAAACCUUUCCUCCCACAGCUUUCUAGAAAUUGCUCUUGGUCAGGAUGUUACUAUACUCUAAUAGACUGUAGGACUUGGAAUGAUCUUCAUUAAAAGGGAGAAAAAGGAA